AAUGCAAUUGCAUUCUCAACUGAGUGUCAUAGUUCAUUUUAGUAUGGAAUGAUAAAUCCACUAAACAAGUUCCUGUGGCAUCCUGGUGUGGUGUUGUGGUAAACAGGCGACCUAAUCGGAUGCCUAUAAAACCGUGACGAUCAUCAUUGAUCGUGUCAGUUGUCUUCUAAUCACCAUUUCUAUUCCACAUAGUAUCGAAUACUCUGCCCCAGGUUUUUUUUAAGUAAUCAUGAAGUUUGCAGUGCUUCUUCUUAUUAGUGCGGUUUUCCUCGUAUCUGUUGCACAAGGUAGUAACGAUGGAGGCGAGGAAGGGCACGGGUCCAGCUUGGGGCUCGCAGCUGUGGUGUCUAACAAAGACUCCGGAUUUGCAGAGCCUAAUCUAGAUCUGGAUGAUAUGGAGGGUGCUGAAAGUCGCUGGAAAUCCCAUAAAAAGUGGAGCGGUCGGCGAGGAGGAAGACAUUAUGGUUGGGGCAAAUGAGCAGUGCAAGAGAAUUGUGAUACAUUUAUAAUUCGAAUGUCUCUUUUGGCGAACAUCAUGCUGAAAACAAUGUUGUAAAUAGUGUGACCUAAAAACUAUGCGAGAUGUUUUACUAUCAAAUUUGCUUCUUUAUUGAUUGUUAAUAAAACAAAUAAAUUUACUUUUUCA